GCCUCCAUUAGUUCACCUUAAAAACACAGAAGAUGAUCAGGGUGGGGGUGGAUUGAACAGGGUGGUGGCGCAGCCAUGGAAGUACAGCAAGUUCUUUGCAUGAAAGGAGGAGAUGGAGAAGCCAGCUACGCCAAUAACUCACUGCUUCAAGUCUCUCCCUCUCUCCCUCUCUCCCUCUCUCUUGCUCACUGAUCAUGUUCCAAGACUCUUAGAUGGUCUAUUCCUCUCACAAAUGAUUUGAUUUUCUCUUCUUCUUCCUGCAGAAAAAGGUGAUAUUGGAGGUGAAACCCAUACUAGAGGAGAGCAUCACAGAGCUCUACUGCAAAACCUUCUCGGAGUGUCUGAAAAUUGCUGAUCUGGGCUGCUCUUCAGGACCCAACACCUUCCUGCCACUGUGGGAGAUCAUAGACUGCAUCGGUGCAACUUGCAGUCGGUUCAGCCGUGAGCCACCCGCCUUUCAAAUCUUCCUGAAUGAUCUUCCACAGAAUGAUUUCAACGCCAUUUUCGAGUCCUUGGCGAGAUUCUACGAGAGGAUUGAGAAGGAAAAGGAAGGGAUGUCUAGACAGUGUUUCAUCGCCGGAGUGCCAGGCUCUUUCCAUAGAAGGCUCUUCCCUGACCGCUCCAUCCACUUUUUUCACUCUUCCUAUAGUCUGCAUUGGCUCUCCCAGGUCAGUAGUGGUUCCAAGAUCACUGAAUCUUUGUUCAUCAUUUCCAUCAAACUCCAUGAAACAUGAGGGAGAAUGUGUAACAGGUACCUGAAGGGCUGGUGAGUGAAUCGGGGACUCCAUUGAAUAAAGGGAACAUCCACUUAACGGUGACAACUCCUCCCAGUGUUCACAAAGCCUACUUGAACCAAUUCGAGAGAGAUUUCACAGCAUUUCUGAGAUUACGCUCCCAAGAGAUUAUUCCUGGAGGCCACAUGCUCCUUACUCUCUUGGGAAGUGAUGGAAAUGGCCAGAAUUCUUCCACCGACGGUCUCUACAAAAUCUGUGAGUUGAUUAGUAUGACAUUAAAGGAUAUGGUCACAGAGGUACAUCUCUCCCUCCCUCUCUAUAAUUUAUAUGCAGAUUUGUACCUUAUAUUGACAGAUUUGCUUAAUUCAAUAUAUAGGGUUCAAUUCAAGAAUCGGAGUUAGACUCGCUCAAUAUUCCACUAUUUAUGCCUUCUCCAGAGCAAGUAAGGAGUGUGAUUCAGAGAGAAAGUUCAUUUACUCUACUACGACUUGAAACAUUCAAGCUAGACUGGGCUGAUAAUAUUGAUGACGGUAACAAAGACCAAGUGUUUGAUAAAUAUGGAAGAGCCAAGUAUGUUGUGAUGUACAUUAGGGCCGUUGGAGAACCCAUUCUAGCAAGUCAUUUUGGAGGUGCGGUGAUGGACAGCUUGUUCCAUAGAUUCUUUAUGAAGGUGGUGGAGAAUAUUGAGACGGGAAAAGGAAUUUAUACUAACCUGGUCAUCUCCUUGUCCAGGAAUGGAAGUUUACCAACUAUGGAUAGAAAGGGGUGAACGUGUCAUCCUAAAUAUUUUAAUAUAAAUAUUUAAAACCAUUUAAAUAAAUAUUUGCCCAUUAGAGCAAAUUUAAAAACCAUAUAUUCUCAAAAACUAUAAUUAUAACUUCUAAUUUUCAAAAAUAAUUCCAUGUCAGUUAGUAAACACUUCAAAGCAAUAAGCUUUUAUUCCCUUUUCUCUUAUCUAAUUCUCUUUCAAAUGUCAUUUCCUUUUCUUUGAAGUCUAUUCAAAAUGUCAUCAAUGAAAUCCAUUUGGUUAUUCAUUGAUCACAUAUUAGCACUACAAUUCCUUGAUGGGCAUAUGUUCCAACAAAGAUGGAGGGCAGGGGAAAGUAUUUGUUAAUCAAAACCAUGUCUACGAAUAGAAAAUUAAGAAAAACACAAGAUUUUAACGUGGUUCGACAAUCAAUGUGAUCCUUUCGUUCAUAGAGUGUACCAACACUCAACAAUCUCCACGAGUUCAAUCCCCACAAGCUCAACAGGAAGUUCAAUCCCCGGCAUUCUUUGCAAAGUGCAACAAAACUUAUUGCUUCACAAUCUAACAAUAUCAAGCAUCAAAACAUGUAAAAUUUUAAUAUAUUCUGCAUGCAAAUUACUGUCCAAAUGCCUGCAACAAAGGACAUGUGAUUGAUCCACACCAAUCGGCAUGGUGACAACGACAAUUCAUCAUGGUCAGUGGAAUCAUAUGCCUCACCCGAUUAUAUAUAUAAUCAAAUUAAAAAAUAAUUUUAUAUAUAUAAUGACACCAGGCCAAGACCAUCGUAAUCUUGUUGCAAGUUGAUAUAUAUAUAUAUCUAAUGACAUUAGGCCAAGACCAUCAUAAUCUUGUUUCAAGUUGAUUAACCUUACACUCCCAUUAUUGUCCUUGAAUGGGCCAUUCAAGGCAUGAUGAUAUGAGCAGCGGCAAAGUUGUUACAGGGCAUGACUGUGGCCCUGCACUUUUAUAAAGCGAUAAGUAUUUGUAUGAAAAGAAAAAAAAAUUCAAAGCAACUGAGGGCAGCCAUGGAAGUACAGCAAGUUCUUUGUAUGAAUGGAGGAGAUGGAGAAACCAGAUAUGCUAGUAACUCACUAUUCCAAGUCUCUCUCUCUCUCUCUCUACCAAUUUAUUUCUGUACCAGAAGAAAUUGAAUGGAUUCUCUUUCUUGUUGCAGAAAAAGGUGAUAUUGGAGGUGAAGCCCAUGCUGGAAGAAAGCAUCACAGAGCUAUACUGCACCACCUUCCCUGAGUGUCUAAAAAUUGCAGAUUUAGGAUGCUCUUCGGGGCCCAACACCCUUUUACCCUUAUGGGAGAUUGUGGAGUGUAUUGGCAGAAGCUGUGUUCGGUUGAGCCGGAAACCACCUAUGUUUCAAGUGUUCUUGAAUGAUCUUCCACAUAAUGAUUUCAACUCCAUUUUUAGGUCCUUGGGGAGCUUCUAUGAGAAACUAGAGAAGGAGAAGGAGAAGGAGGGGGGGGAAGUUUGGAGAAUGUUUGAUUGCAGGAAUGCCAG
rnacentral:lncRNA from 1 species